rnacentral:tRNA from 1 species
GCCGGAAUAGCUCAGUUGGGAGAGCGUUAGACUGAAGUUGUUUACGCCGGUUCAAUCCCGGGUUCCGGCA